rnacentral:misc_RNA from 1 species
GGAGAAUUAAAAAACAAGGACAGCAAAUCAGGCUUAACAUGAGUAAAUGAGGUCAACCCAACCCACUGGACUGAACUAUGGCACAACAUAAGGUAGCUGGAUAAUAAUGCUUCACAGUCACAGAACUAACGAUGCGCUCUUUUGCAUUUUUGGCCUCAGAAAAUUUAUCCUUGAUAAAUCUGCUGAGAGAGUCGCCCUAUGAGCCAAAGAUUUCCUGGUUCUCCUAGGGGCAGAGGGAAGGCAUGAAUCUAGGAAACCAAGAUGUAGAUUUGAAAGUAAAAGAGGGCAAUAUAAAAACCAUAAGGUAAUGCUCAUUAUAGGCGGUAGGAAUUCAAGAGAAUGACGGCAAAAAAAAUUAGCCAAGAGAAGUGAGAGAGAGCUGCAGCAGCUGAAGCCAAUGCCAAGAAAGAAGGUUUCCAGAGAGAAGUUUCCCUCUUCACCUGUUUUUAUAAAAAAGAUGAUUCAUUUCAUUAAAAAAAAGAAAAAAGAAUACAAAGAGUUCUAGACUUGAUAUGGUAAACUCCAAAAUAUCUAAAUGAUGAGAGAUCUAUUGCCUGAACUAUUUAUGGUUCAGACCUAAAUUAUGAUUCGGUCAAUAACAUGAUUUGGCUGCCGAAUCCUAUGGUUCGGACGCUGGGAUAUUCGCAGUUUUUUAACUCAAC